CUGUACCGUCAAGGUUUGGGGAUAAUGAGGCGGCAGCGUGGGCUGGAGAGUUGGGAGACGAGGUGGGGCCCAAGGAGCGGGAAGGGUCGGCGGGCAGCAGCAGUUUAGCCAACGUAAUGCGGUCGGGCGGCGGGCCUGGGGCCGAGUGGGUGCGUCCGAAGGCGCGAGGUCGGCGGGCCCGAAGGAGAUGGUGAGGAGGCGGUUGCUGGUGCUCAGCUCGGUGACCGCCGGUGUCGCGCACUGCCCCUUCUCCCCGCAUGUCGGCUGCUUCUCCCCCGCCGGCCACGCCCGCUCCAGCGUUGGCCCUGCUACCGCCGUCGCCUUUUCCUCGACACGCCGGUUGUCGUUGUCGUCGUCGUCAUUCCCUUCGCGCAGCUACUCGGAUCUGCCUGGCAGCGAUGCGGGAUUCCUGGCCGCGGCAAAGCCGCUGCACUGUGGCUGGUGGUACUGGCCGGUCGAUCAUGCAGAGGCUGUCCUUUCCCGCUGUGUCCACCUCACCCUCUCCUGUGCCCCAAGGCGAGAACUGCUUGUGUUGGAACUUAUCUAUAUCGGAAUGCACAGAUUCCAUGUUCUAUUUUACUCGUGAUGUCCGAGGCUAAAGGAGACAGUGUUUUAAAUCACUUGGAAGUGCAUAAAACUUGCAUUUGGUAUGUUGUUUACUCACAGUUUUGACAUGAAGCAGCUGGAUUCCUCGUCAUCGAGUGCCAGUCCGAUUCCUCAUCGAGCUCGUCGUCUUCCCCAUCGUCUCGUCCUCUCCUCUUCCUGGUCCUAGGGGGCAACAAAUUCGUGGGAUUUGAGUAUUGGAAGAGAUUUGAGAUAGCAGGUAUGGAUGGGGAAUGCCUGCUCGAGGUGAGGGAUCCUAAUUGAGUUGGGCAGAGCCAGAUUGAGAUGCCAUGUCCUUCGGUGAACAAGAGACAAGAUUCAUGCUUGAGUUACGGUACAUCUAACUCACGAACCUGCAUCUUACAAGUUCAAUAGAGAAGAUGAUCUUCAGUGAAUCAACAUUAUAUAUUAUACCUUGAUGAUUUGUGAUCAGGUCCCAGCAGUAACUUUAUUAAUUUGGCAUUGGUUCGAUUUGAACAUCUGACUUCAAAAGCAGGCUGUAACGAAUGUGAAGUAACACAAAUAGUUGUUUCCUCUGAUUUCUCAUACUGCCGAAAGGAAGAGAAAGAAAGGCGUUGCUUGCUUAACAGGAUGGAUGGUAACAUCUGACUUCUAAUACUUCCGGAAUUGGACCAAGCAGAAAGUAAAUAGGCAACCAAUUCUAUUGUACGGGCAUGGAGAGAGAGGAGGGUGGAGGAAAAUUUGAAGAACCAUGUGGACCUUUGCAGGAUGCUUGACAUUGUAGCGUCUGGAGACGGGUACAUGCUUACGAUUUUCCUAUAUGUCUUGAGUGCUCUCUCAUGGCUAAUAUUGCUUCAUCAAGACUGUUUCAAAGUUUAGAUGAUCACCCAUUUCUUUACUUCUGAUUAUUUUUGGAAUAACUUGCUUAUCUUCCUUGCUGCAAUCCUUGAACGGCUGCAUAUGAUUUUGUGCUGCCUCCUGUAUAACGUUGUAUUCCUAUCUUAAGAACUAGGAGACUGUUUAAUGCCUUUCAUAAUGUGAUAUCACAGGCUAUUGGGAUAUAUUAAAUAUGCAAUUAUGCACAAUCCCAUGAUUGGUAUUGUGUUUUGUUUCUUAUUUUUGAGGAUGGCUCUCAUAAUCUGUUUCCUAUUCAAUCAAUUUCUGGAAGUGCUGACCUAGAUGGUGGAAGGGGUUACUAUUUGAAGAAAGGUGUCCUCCUGAACCUGACAUUGAUAAAUUUUGGGCUAGCUUUCCUGAGGAAACGAUUUGAGCCAAUGCAAACUCCCUUUUUCAUGAGAAAGGAAACUAUGGGAAAAUGUGCGCAGGUGGCCCAGUUCGACGAGCUUUACAAAGUAAGGCGGAUGAAAUAUUCCCUGCUUGCAAAUCAUGUAGUAUGACUUUACAUUGGUUAAAUUAUGCUUUUGUACUUUUCUUUUUAGGAAAGUAAUUGCUCUAUCAAUUUACCAUCAUAUGUUCACAACUUAUAUGUUCGCACGCAUGCUGCAUGGUUUCACAUCUUCACCACUGCAAAUCUGGAUGCAUGCAGGACAUGUGAAUAUGUCUGUGUUCCUUCUGUAGUUUUCCUGUUGAGACGUGUGCCUGCAGCUGCAGGCGACCGAAUGGAGCAUAAGACGAGUUCAUUUGGAUGAAGAAAAUGACGAGGGUACAUUCUUGAGAAUGUGGGCCGAAUAUCCAGACAGGCCAGCUUCAUCGUUCCAGGCAAUCUCCGUAGCGCAGGGAUUAUGGACUGGGGUUAUUAUUUAGCCCGACUCAUGAAAUGCUGCUAGACGUUAUUCACAUGGAGUCGAACAGUAGAUGCAUGGGAGCGAAAUAUAUCACCUAGGCUGCGCUUCACGAACGCCGCUCACCUCCUUAACAUAUUACGUCGGCCGAGGUGGCCGCAGUGCAGUGCAAACCCAAAAGGCAGCUGCCUGUACGCAUACAUGCUGGCAAAUCCAGGCUGCAUUUAGUUGUUGUUUGAUGUUUCUUAUUUUCCGUUCUUUUAGGUGAUGUUUGAAUACUCACCACAGUAAAAUAAAUAGUUUCGAAGAGUUGAUUCUCUCAUCC